UUGAAGAAUUUAGAGAUUUCAGCUUGUAAACUUGAAAAAUUUGAAGACUUCAGCUUGCAUACUUGAAUAGUUUAAAGACUUCAACU
rnacentral:pre_miRNA from 1 species